AGACUGAGAGGUAUGAUAGCGCAG
rnacentral:piRNA from 1 species